GCCGACCCCCGAGACCGAAGAUUGGGGAAAAAAAAGCAAAACAAAUUUAAAAAAAAAAUAAAAAAAGAAAGAAAGGAAAAGAAAAGAAACCACGUCAAAAGUUAGCAGUGAAACCCGCCCUCCGUUUCUUGUACAGUCUGGAGGAUUUUCGCUACAUUUUGACAACUCUGAAACGUGUUAACUCUUAGUGCCAUCAAGAAUCCCAUUUGGGAGUAUUUUUGAUUUUUCUACUUUUUGUUGACAAAAGGGAUUUGUACUCUGUGCAUUGGAUGGACCUGUUUGGUACUUGGGAUUUUCCUCUUUGAGUCAACAUCAGUGUUGUAAAUUCGAUAAACGGAUUCACUUUUAGCAGCAGACUUUGAACUGCAGCUUCGCCCGGCUGAUGCUGGGCGGGCGCCGAGGACACCCGACUGAGCUCACGUACCUGCGCUGCAGACCAAGCCUUCGCCCGAGUUCAAGACUCCAGUGGACGACCUUUUUGCACAGCGCUGCAUGUUGAUACCACUGCCUUUACUCACUUUGGUUUGUUUUGUUUUUGUUUUUCGCUUCCAGUUGGGAUGGGGGAAGGCCUUUGUGUGUGUAUUGGGGGGAGGGGUUAAAAAUAAUUAUCCCAAAUUUUUUAAUGUAUUGCUUUUUUUUUUUUCUUUUACUGUUUUUUUUUCUUUCUUUCUUUUUUUUUUUGGCUUCUUUACCAUUUUAAGUUCUGACCUCAGGCCUCCAUUUGGGCCCAGGGCCUCUUGGAGGCUUCGCGUUUUCUGUACCUUGUGAUGAAUGUUAAUAGGCGUUUUUAUUAUACAGAGCUGAAUGUCAUUUCUCGUCUGUAGUUUUCUGGCACUCAUUCCAUUUUCCUAUAGACAUCACCAUGUUUCUCUCAAGUUUAAAACAAAACAAAACAAAACAUUCCGUUUUGGUCUUUUUCCAAAAAAAAAAAAAGAGAAAAGAAAAGAAAAAAAAAGAUCCCAAAGGCUGCACCUUACACCUGAAGGUCCCCACACGGGGACAUGACAUCCUGCCAGUAAGAGAAUGAAUGACAGAAAAGGAAAGAGAGAAACGCACGCGCGCACACUCUAGGGACAUGGCAGAUUCAUUUCACAAAAACAGUAUUGGGGGUGGGAUGGGGGACUGUUGGAGGUUUUUCUUUUUUUUCUUUUUCAUAGCACCCACCAUUGUGAGUAACUGCCACCACAUUCUCUCAGCAUCAGGAAACACAGCCACG
rnacentral:lncRNA from 1 species